rnacentral:rRNA from 1 species
ACAGUUGGAAACGACUGCUAAUACCGCAUAAGCCCACGGUACCGCAUGGUGCUGAGGGAAAAGGAUUUAUUCGCUUUAGGAUGGACUCGCGUCCAAUUAGCUAGUUGGUGAGGUAACGGCCCACCAAGGCGACGAUUGGUAGCCGGACUGAGAGGUUGAACGGCCACAUUGGGACUGAGACACGGCCCAGACUCCUACGGGAGGCAGCAGUGGGGGAUAUUGCACAAUGGGGGAAACCCUGAUGCAGCGACGCCGCGUGGAGGAAGAAGGUCUUCGGAUUGUAAACUCCUGUUGUUGAGGAAGAUAAUGACGGUACUCAACAAGGAAGUGACGGCUAACUACGUG